AGGCUUACCAUGCAGUCGAGGGGCAGCAUAGAAGUAGCAAUACUUUGGUGGCGACCGGCGCACGGGUGAGUAACGCGUAUGCAACCUACCUAUCAGAGGGGAAUAACCCGGCGAAAGUCGGACUAAUACCGCAUAAAACAGGGGCACCGCAUGGUGAUAUUUGUUAAAGAAAUUCGCUGAUAGAUGGGCAUGCGUUCCAUUAGGUAGUUGGUGAGGUAACGGCUCACCAAGCCGACGAUGGAUAGGGGAACUGAGAGGUUGGUCCCCCACACUGGUACUGAGACACGGACCAGACUCCUACGGGAGGCAGCAGUGAGGAAUAUUGGUCAAUGGGCGGGAGCCUGAACCAGCCAAGUCGCGUGAAGGAAGAAGGAUCUAUGGUUCGUAAACUUCUUUUGCAGGGGAAUAAAGUGCGGGACGUGUCCUGUUUUGUAUGUACCCUGAGAAUAAGGAUCGGCUAACUCCGUGCCAGCAGCCGCGGUAAUACGGAGGAUCCGAGCGUUAUCCGGAUUUAUUGGGUUUAAAGGGUGCGUAGGUGGUUUGAUAAGUCAGCGGUGAAAGUUUGCAGCUUAACUGUAAAAAUGCCGUUGAAACUGUCGGACUUGAGUGUAAAUGAGGUAGGCGGAAUGCGUGGUGUAGCGGUGAAAUGCAUAGAUAUCACGCAGAACUCCGAUUGCGAAGGCAGCUUACUAAGCUACAACUGACACUGAAGCACGAAAGCGUGGGGAUCAAACAGGAUUAGAUACCCUGGUAGUCCACGCAGUAAACGAUGAUUACUAGCUGUUUGCGAUACACAGUAAGCGGCACAGCGAAAGCGUUAAGUAAUCCACCUGGGGAGUACGCCGGCAACGGUGAAACUCAAAGGAAUUGACGG
rnacentral:rRNA from 1 species